GCAGUUACUAGGUCAAUAUCAUCAAUAAGCCACCCCCAACACAGAGAGUGCUUUCCCCCAAUAGGUGAACCAACACUUCACUUGAAUAUCAACUCAGACCCCUAAAUUCAUCAUCAAUGGCACUUGCUUCUCGCUUACUCUCCAGAUCCACUCGCCAGUUAUGCGCUGGUCAGGUUGUUCUUCGACCCGAGCAUGCAGUUGCAGUUCGUUCCUUUGCCAAAGACGCUGCAGCUCCCACUGCACUGAAGGGAGAUCAGGUGUUGAAGGACAUCUUUUAUGAGGUUAAGAACAAGCUUGAGACAGCAAUUGGUGUCCUACGAAAGGAGAAGAUCACCAUAGAUCCUGAAGAUACUGCUGCUGUAUCUGAGUAUGCAAAAGUGAUGAAGUCUGUAAGACAAAAGGCUAAUCUCAUGUCAGAGUCUCAAAUUAUUAAGUUCAAUAUUGAAGUAGAAACACAUGAAAUUCCAGAUGCUCGCUCAUAUUUGCAGAAACUGAAGGAGAUGCGUGUCAAGAGGGGCCUUAUUGAUGCGCAAGGCAUAGAGGAUUUGCAGAUGGCAGCUUUGGAUAAGGUUGAGAAAGAAAUCAAAAAGCCACUAAUGAGGAACGACAAAAAGGGAAUAGCUCUUCUUACAGCUGAGUUUGAUAAGAUCAACCAGAAGCUUGGCAUUCGUAAAGAAGAUCUGCCCAAAUAUGAAGAACAGUUGGAGCUUAAGAUUGCGAAGGCACAAUUAGAAGAACUGAAAAAGGAUGCUCUUGAAGCAAUGGAAACUCAGAAGAAGAGGGAGGAGUUCAAGGAUGAGGAGAUGCCCAGUGUGAAGUCUCUGGACAUCAGAAACUUCAUUUAAAAAAUGAAAUUUGCUUCAAGGCUUAUUUUCCUUUUGCACCUUGUUGAUCUCCUGCUACCCUUGAACAUAAAUUUUACUAUCCCUAGAAGUGUAGUUGUAUCAGACAUCCAAGAGGCUGCCUUCUGAAUAAUAAGAGGUCUGACCAAGAAAUUAGCUUUUGUAUGCUUUUGGGGCCUGAGUAUAUCUUUGCUCCUCAUUUGUAACUGAUCUUGGUCAGUUGUUUUUUGCACUCUGUACUCGAUUUUAAUGAAAGAGAACUAAGAUGCGUGAUUGUAUUAAAUUUUCAAUUUCGAUGCUUU